GCAGAGGUGUAUUUUACAAAGCUGCCUGGGCCUGGCAUGAAGAUCAUGCCACUUUAAACAGCGAAUCUGUUAUUGUGAUGUUUGUGAGAGGAGAACAAGUGGGAAAGUCACUUUCAAGUGCAGCUCAGUGCUCUUUUAAUGAGGAAUGGGGUCUUCUUCAGAGUCAGCCAACUACUGAGGAGGAGCUGACACCCUUAGUAGUCAACAUCCUCAAAACAGCUGACAGCUCCAGAUAAAUCAGUUUGUGUACUUCCUCCCCUUCUCAUAUCACCUGCGGUGACAGGAAAGCACUAAUUUCCUUUGAGAGGGAGAGAGAGAUGGAUGCACGCGUGCAUCCUGGGCAUGUUGAUCCUUCAGUGUAAAAUUAACAAAAACAGAGGCCAGGGAGAGCUGGGAAUAGGCACAGCACUUUGUCAAGAGGAAGACUCUGCUGUGCACAACACUGCAUGCCCAGGGGCUCGGCACACAGGCUGUGACAUCGGCCCCCUGCACAAGCGGCACUUGGGCACCGCGCUUGGUCCUGCAGCUGGACACAGCCCAGCCCUGCACAUACAGCCACCUCGGAGGAGUUCUCCAACUCUUGCUACCCUUGGAGAGGACCAUGCCAGGCACCGAGCAGAAAGGCUGAAACCCACCUCUGGGGGCAGGGGAUUUUGAAGCCAAUUUCUCCUGGACCAAAAACCCACAAAGUCACUCUGUGCACAGACCCCGCUGCCCACAGCCCAAACACAGGCAAGUUCAGCAGCACAGAGCCCCACAAAACCAACAAGGACAUUUUUGUCACCCCUGAUGUUGCUCAGUCAGUGCUAAUUCCUGCUUGGGUGAUGCAGAAAUGCACCUCUUUGAGCAUAAGAAGUUGAUUCCAUUCUAGUCUCGUAGAAUCUGGGUUGUUUCUUUCUUGCACCAUUGAGUGUUUCAGUGGAAAAGCUCUUUUGUGUGUAAAUAACUAUUAGGUGAUAAUUUUUUUUAUAAGCAAAGAAAAUUCAUAAAAUAAAGCAGACAGAAUUCAUUUAUAUGAAAAAUAG
rnacentral:lncRNA from 1 species